rnacentral:rRNA from 1 species
AAUGAACGCUGGCGGCAGGCCUAACACAUGCAAGUCGAGCGAGCGGCGGACGGGUGAGUAAUGUCUGGGAAACUGCCUGAUGGAGGGGGAUAACUACUGGAAACGGUAGCUAAUAACGCAUACCAUCAGCAGUGCCCAGAUGGGAUUAGCUAGUAGGUGGGGUAACGGCUCACCUAGGCGACGAACCCUAGCUGGUCUGAGAGGAUGACCAGCCCAACUGGAACUGAGAGACGGUCCAGACUCCGACGGGAGGCAGCAGUGGGGAAUAUUGCACAAUGGGCGAAAGCCUGAUGCAGCCACGCCGCGUGUGUGAAGAAGGCCUUCGGGUUGUAAAGCACUUUCAUCGGGGAGGCGUUACCCGAAGAGGAAGCACCGGCUAACUCCGUGCCAGCAGCCGCGGUAAUAC